GAAAGAUUCAUCGGAAGAGGAUGGGCAUGCGGCGCAUUAGCUAGACGGCGGGGUAACGGCCCACCGUGGCGACGAUGCGUAGGGGUUCUGAGAGGAAGGUCCCCCACACUGGUACUGAGACACGGACCAGACUCCUACGGGAGGCAGCAGUGAGGAAUAUUGGUCAAUGGGAGAGAUCCUGAACCAGCCAAGCCGCGUGAGGGAAGACGGCCCUAUGGGUUGUAAACCUCUUUUGUCGGAGAACAAAACCCGGGACGUGUCCCGGACUGCGUGUAUCCGAAGAAAAAGCAUCGGCUAACUCCGUGCCAGCAGCCGCGGUAAUACGGAGGAUGCGAGCGUUAUCCGGAUUUAUUGGGUUUAAAGGGUGCGUAGGCGGUCCGUUAAGUCAGCGGUAAAAUUGCGGGGCUCAACCCCGUCGAGCCGUUGAAACUGGCAGACUUGAGUUGGCGAGAAGUACGCGGAAUGCGCGGUGUAGCGGUGAAAUGCAUAGGUAUCGCGCAGAACUCCGAUUGCGAAGGCAGCGUACCGGCGCCAGACUGACGCUGAGGCACGAAAGCGUGGGGAUCGAACAGGAUUAGAUACCCUGGUAGUCCACGCAGUAAACGAUGAAUGCUGGUUGUCCGGGUCGAAUGAGAUCUGG
rnacentral:rRNA from 1 species